GACGAACGCUGGCGGCGUGCCUAAUACAUGCAAGUAGAACGCUGAAGGAGGAGCUUACUUCUCUGGAUGAGUUGCGAACGGGUGAGUAACGCGUAGGUAACCUGCCUGGUAGCGGGGGAUAACUAUUGGAAACGAUAGCUAAUACCGCAUAAGAGUAGAUGUUGCAUGACAUUUACUUAAAAGGAGCAAUUGCACCACUACCGGAUGGACCUGCGGUGUAUUAGCUAGUUGGUGGGGUAACGGCUUACCAAGGCGACGAUACAUAGCCGACCUGAGAGGGUGGCCGGCCACAAUGGGACUGAGAAACGGCCCAGACUCCUACGGGAGCGGCAGUAGGGAAUCUUCGGCAAUGGACGGAAGUCUGACCGAGCAACGCCGCGUGAGUGAAGAAGGUUUUCGGAUCGUAAAGCUCUGUUGUAAGAGAAGAACGAGUGUGAGAGUGGAAAGUUCACACUGUGACGGUAUCUUACCAGAAAGGGACGGCUAACUACGUGCCAGCCGCCGCGGUAA
rnacentral:rRNA from 1 species